rnacentral:rRNA from 1 species
UGGGAAUUUUGGACAAUGGGCGCAAGCCUGAUCCAGCCAUGCCGCGUGCAGGAAGAAGGCCUUCGGGUUGUAAACUGCUUUUGUCAGGGAAGAAAUCCUUUGGGUUAAUACCUCGAAGGGAUGACGGUACCUGAAGAAUAAGCACCGGCUAACUACGUGCCAGCAGCCGCGGUAAUACGUAGGGUGCGAGCGUUAAUCGGAAUUACUGGGCGUAAAGCGUGCGCAGGCGGCUUUGCAAGACAGAUGUGAAAUCCCCGGGCUCAACCUGGGAACUGCAUUUGUGACUGCAAGGCUAGAGUGCGGCAGAGGGAGAUGGAAUUCCGCGUGUAGCAGUGAAAUGCGUAGAUAUGCGGAGGAACACCGAUGGCGAAGGCAAUCUCCUGGGCCUGCACUGACGCUCAUGCACGAAAAGCGUGGGGAGCAAAACAGGAUUAGAUACCCUGGUAGUCCACGCCCUAAAANGAUGUCAACUGGUUGUUGGACGGCUUGCUGUUCAGUAACGAAGCUAAACGCGUGAAGUUGACCGCCUGGGGGAGUACGGCCGCAAGG